UACGUAGGGUGCGAGCGUUGUCCGGAAUUACCGGGCGUAAAGAGCUCGUAGGUGGUUUGUCGCGUUGUUCGUGAAAACUCACAGCUUAACUGUGGGCGUGCGGGCGAUACGGGCAGACUGGAGUACUGCAGGGGAGACUGGAAUUCCUGGUGUAGCGGUGAAAUGCGCAGAUAUCAGGAGGAACACCGGUGGCGAAGGCGGUUCUCUGGGCAUGUCCUGACGCUGAGGAGCGAAAGUGUGGGGAGCGAACAGG
rnacentral:rRNA from 1 species